UGUUUCUUUUCUGUCGGCUUUACUGUCGUCUUUGAACAGUAUCAAAUCCUUCCGCCACUAUUUUCUCUGCUCUCCUUCCCUUACCCAACACCCCCCUCCUCCCCUCUGUCACUCUGUCCCUCACUGUUGUCUCCUACUAUUACGAUCACAACAAGAUUAUAUUAAUUGGUAAGCAGCAGCAGCAUCAGAGGAAGAAGCAAAGCUUUAUAAGAGAGAGAGAGAGAGAGAGAGAGAGAGAGUUGAGUCGUUCGUUGCUGGGGAGGGGAGGGGAGGGGAAGGGAGAGGGGGGCUUCCAUGACGGUCGAGAACGAGAGCCAUCGACACCACCACCAACUCUUGCCGCCUCUGCAACCUCAAAGACGCAUCCCUUCGUCCACGUGCGACCUGCACCCGGGCGAGACGGUCACCGGCUUCUGCGCCUCCUGCCUCCGCGAGCGCCUCGCGGGGCUCGAGGCACCUGCCGCAGCCUCCGGCCGUAGGUCCACCUCUGCCCUUCGAUCCGUCUUCUCCAUGGUCACCGUCGGCGCGGGCCCUGCCGCCGGGCCGUCCUCCCUCCGCCGCUCCAAGUCCUUCUCGUUCAGCCGUGGCGGCGACGUCUUCUCGGCGCAGCGGCCCCGCGCAUCCGCCUUGGAACCCCAGCGCAGGUCCUGCGACGUCCGCGGCCGCAGCACCCUUUGGUCCCUCUUCCAUCAGGACGACCGGGACAGGGUGGGUCAGAACCCUUCCAUCCCACCCUUCUCCUCCUCCUCCUCUUCCUCCACCUCAACCUCCUCCGCGGCGGCGGCGGCGACGGCGCCGUCCACGAGCGGAGCGAUCGAGGUGGACUGCCGGAACCAAGGGCUUCCGGGCCCCUCCCUCGCUCCUCCAGUGUCCGGAACAUGCGAAGAGUAUGAGAUCGGCCAUGAGAUCAGGCCCAUUGGAACCUCGGGGGAGAUAAAUGAGGAAGGAAAGGGAGCAGCGGAGGAGGAAAUGGAGCUGAAGCCGAUGAAGGACCACAUAAAUCUCGACUCCGAGCAGCAGCAGCAGCAUCAGGCGAAGAAGCCACCGCAAAAGGACUUCAAGGAGAUCGCCAGCAGCGUCUGGCUCGCCGCCUCCGUCUUCAGCAAAAAGCUCCAGAAAUGGCGGAGAAGACAGAAGCCAAAGAACCAAGGUGGCGAAGCGACAAUGCCGGCGGAGGAACCCCCUAAAACGUCGCGGCGGUUCCACGACACGCAGUCGGAAGUCGCCAUGGACUGCUCCGGCCGAAGAUCCUGCGACACCGACCCCCGCUUCUCUCUGGACGCCGCCCGGAUGUCCAUCGACGACCCCAGGUUCUCCUGGGACGAGCCGAGGGCCUCAUGGGACGGCUACCUGAUCGGAGGCCGAUCAGUGUUCCCUCGUCUCCCUCCCAUUCUCUCCGUCGUCGAGGACGCCCCUGCCCCGGCAGUCCAGCGGUCGGACUACCUUAUCCCCGUCGAGGCAGAUGCCGCCAUCCCAGGCGGGUCGGCACAGACCCGGGACUACUACUUGGAUUCAUCCAGCCAGCGCCGGCGAAGCCUUGACCGAUCGAGCUCCAUCAGGGAGCAGCCUGUCGAGAUCAGUGAGCCAAAGCCGGUCUCCAACAGCAGAGUAUCCCCUGCAGGCGGCAUGGACUUCUUCCCCUUCCACCAUGGUGCCUCACUUGAGCGGGAGGUAAAAGAUUGGAGCUCAAAUUCCCUGAGAGAUGAUUACUCCGGCAGUUUUGAGUCAGCUUUUAGGGACCUUAACAAAGGUGCUUCCCCGAAGAAGUCAAGUAGGUGGAGCAAAGCAUGGAACAUUUGGGGGCUUCUUCAGCGAAGAAAUAGUAGCAGAGGAGAAGCCAAUAUGGUUGACAGAUCCUUGUCAGAGUCAUGGCCGGAGCUGCGGUGCAAGAGCACCAAUGGCAGGAUUCUAAGGAGUAACAGCAGUGUAAGCUCGAGGGUCUCUUCUCAUGCCAAUGCUGGGUAUGGGGUGAUGCGGACGAGCAGCAUGAGGUCCAGUGGGAAUGAUAAGAAGAAGAGUAGAGAUGAACCCGUUCUGGAGAGGAAUAGAAGUGCUAGAUAUUCUCCAAACCAUAUUGAGAACGGUAUGCUGCGGUUUUACUUGACACCAAAGCGAAAUGCACGGAGGAAUGGAGUUUCAGCUAGCCGAAGGCAGAUGAUGCCUUCGCCUUACCUUGCAAGAAGCAUGCUAGGACUGUAUUGAUCUGACUGUUGAACUCUAUCAGCUGGAAAGGAGCCAAUUUGAAGAUUGAAGACUGCAGCACACUUCAGAAGGUCGAACCUACUAAAAGGGAUCGAAGUAUGUGAUUGUUAGGUUGCCUGUGAUGCUAAUCUUGCCCGAGAUUUUCUACUAUCUACUGAGUUCACAGUCGGGCUUCGUUUGUUACUAUAUACAUACGGAUAGAAAGCUUCAUAUCCACAUGUAUCUAUUUACUGGUGAGAGAUCACACAUUGGAAUUAGCUGCAGAUGCCUAACUCUUCAUUUUUCUGCUUCCAAUUAUUGGUUUUGCAGGUGGGAUGAUAUCUAAGAAGAUAGGAUUCAUCAGCUGGGAUUGUACUCUUGCCUUGUUUGUUCAUGAACCUCCACUGCCAAGUUAUUAGAUUUUGUUUGGGACAAAUUUGAAGUCAGCUUGAUGGUGAACACUAGUAACAUAUGCAUGACUAGGGAUUGGGAGGGUCAAGAGCUGAAGCUGGUUUGUGAAAAGUGUCAAAUGAUGCUGUGCACUCUACUAGGAGACCACUAUGGGGAGUUCAUCAAUUGAUUGUUCGGAUAAGAGGUUUUAGAGUGACAGCAUUCCUUGUAGUCAGUAGAUGAGUGUCAAGGUUUUUUAGUUUCUAGUGGAAUUUUUUAAAGUUCUACGAAGUACAAUUUAGCAAUCAGAUUUGAAGUAAAAUAAACAGUACAUGACAUGCACAACUAUCCGUGCAUGGAGGCAUGUGUUAACUAAAUAUGAACGUUAAUAAAAAAAUUAUACAGAAAGAAUAGAAUAAAAUUUUGACUAUAAGAGCAAAUAAUUUAAUUAAAAUGACAUGUAUUUUAAUUUUCGUAGAUUUUAUCAGUAACAAAUAAUUUAAUGUAGAGUGUUUUUGUUAAAGUAGGAUUUUUGAGGGUCAAAAUGUGUUAUUAUUAUUAUUUUCAAGAAUGUUUUGAAAAAAAAAAUCAGGAAAGAACCAAUUAAUUCUAUAUGAAAAUUUUCACAUAUAUGCUGGUGUAAAAUAAAUUUUUUAAUUAAAAUAUGUGGGAGGGAACUAAGCAUCUCUCUGUCUCUCUCUCUCUCAGCAACCUCGACCGGCCCAAGUCCCAGUGUGAAGCCCAAAUAGAGCCUUAAUGGGCCGACCCAAUUGAGAAGAGAACCACACGGAUCGAUUAUAAAUAGUGAUCCUAACACGGCCGGUUCCACAUGGUCUGUUGCUGCCUCCCCGGUCUCAUCUCCAUCUCAACCUCGAACGCGUCGAGUUUUCCGGCCUCCUUGCGUCCGAUCUCGCUUCAGAGAGGAGUUGGAGGAGGAGGAAUGGCUCACUGGGUGGAUCACGAAUGUGACUACCUGUUCAAGAUCGUGCUGAUCGGCGAUUCGGGGAAGGGGAAAUCGAACAUCCUCGACAGUUCACGCGGAAUGAGUUCUGCUUGGAUGGAAUCUAAGUCCACCAUCGGCGCCGAAUUCGCCACUAGGACCCUCCAGAAGUUGGCGCUGAGUCCAGAUUGAUUCGACUUCUUGUUGCCAGGAAUGCUGCUUGGACCAAUCGACGCUCCAUUUCGAUCCGGACAACUUGAGCAAAAGAGUACGAGAUAUAUCUGCGUCUUUUAGCUCGGAUUAAAUGAUCGAGUCAUUGGUUUUGAUCUAGGGUUUCAACUGAAAUGGCUGACCGUCCAUGAAAUGAUUGGAAGAUGUUUGUUCUCGAUGGAACUGGGAUAUUUGUUUGGACAACGAAGUAUCAAGAAGCCUUGGGGGAUAAAAGUAAUGGUUCGAAGAAUCUUACAAUAAAUGCAGCUUUAUUGCGAUUCA